UACGAAGGGGGCUAGCGUUGUUCGGAAUUACUGGGCGUAAAGCGCACGUAGGCGGGUUGUUAAGUCAGGGGUGAAAUCCUGGAGCUCAACUCCAGAACUGCCUUUGAUACUGGCAACCUAGAGACUGGAAGAGGUUAGUGGAAUUCCCAGUGUAGAGGUGAAAUUCGUAGAUAUUGGGAAGAACACCGGUGGCGAAGGCGGCUCACUGGCUCGUUUCUGACGCUCAGGCGCGACAGCGUGGGGAUCAAACAGG
rnacentral:rRNA from 1 species